rnacentral:rRNA from 1 species
CCCUCGUCCGCUGGUUCGUCAUAAUAGUUGUUAUUCAGGAUGACUACUGMKGACGMWSGCGKCAUGCCUAACACAUGCAAGUCGAACGMGAAGGUGCUUUCSGGCACUGGACAGUGGCGCACGGGUGAGUAACGCGUGGGGACCUACCAUACAGCACGGAACAACGGUUGGAAACGACUGCUAAUACCGUAUACGCUCCCCCCAUAUUGAUUUAUGGGGGAGRAAAGAUUUAUCGCUGAAUGAUGGACCCGCGUUGGAUUAGAUAGUUGGUGAGGUAAUGGCUCACCAAGUCAGCGAUCCAUAGCUGGUUUGAGAAGAUGAUCAGCCACAUUGGGACUGAGACACGGCCCCAGACUCCUACGGGAGGCAGCAGUGGGGAAUAUUGCACAAUGGGCGCAAGCCUGAUGCAGCAAUGCCGCGUGAGUGAAGACGGCCUUAGGGUUGUAAAACUCUUUCGCCAGGGAAGAUAAUGACUGUACCUGGUAAAGAAGUCCCGGCUAACUCCGUGCCAGCAGCCGCGGUAAUACGGAGGGGACUAGCGUUGUUCGGAAUUACUGGGCGUAAAGAGUUCGUAGGCGGACUGACAAGUAAGAGGUGAAAUCCCGGGGCUCAACCCCGGAACUGCCUUUUAAACUGUCAGUCUAGAGACCGGAAGAGGUUAGGGGAAUACCUAGUGUAGAGGUGAAAUUCGUAGAUAUUAGGUGGAACACCAGUGGCGAAGGCGCCUGACUGGUCCGGUACUGACGCUGAGGAACGAAAGCGUGGGGAGCAAACAGGAUUAGAUACCCUGGUAGUCCACGCCGUAAACGAUGAGUGCUAGAUGUUGGGAUUUUCGGAUUUCAGUGUCGCAGCUAACGCAUUAAGCACUCCGCYKGGGGAGUACCGGCMGCAAGUGWKRAACCUCAAAUGGAAUUGACGU